rnacentral:misc_RNA from 1 species
GUACCCUCAAGCUUUGCUUGGUGUUGGGCGUUUUUGUCUUUGGCUACAGCCCAAAGACUCGCCUUAAAACGAUUGGCAGCCGGCCUACUGGUUUCGCAGCGCAGCACAUUUUUGCGCUUGCAACCAGCAAAAGAGGUUGGCAAUCCAUCAAGUCUUACUUUCUCAC